rnacentral:lncRNA from 1 species
CUCCCAAGACUAGGUCAUAGAAGGAAGAGAAAGAAAUCUGAAGCAGCAUGAAGUUCUAACUUUCAGCAGUUUUCAUGAUAUAUGCCAAAUGCCACCACCAAAGUGAUCACUGACUGCCAUGUGGCAAUCCACACUAACACCUGAGACCUCCAGAGCAAACACACACUUGCGUCAACACAGACAUUAAAUAAAUACUUGCAGGUCCAAGACCUUUACAGAACUCAUCUAUGACCUCUACUGGCCAGGCUACUGAAAUACAACAGCUAUCAUUAUUUCAGAAGUUUUUUCAGUCAUUCAUUCAUUUAACAAUACUUUUUAGCACCUAGGAUGGGCCAGGCACUGUUUAAGGAAUGACAAAGAAGACAGACCAAAAAACCCUUCCCUCUUAAAAUUCAGCUGGGCAGCAAUGAAAGGAUAUGCAUUAUAAAUAAGUUGAUUGUAGAUAUUUUGGAAGGUAAUGACUGCCUUUAAAAAGAGGAAAAAGUGAAUCAAAAGAAAGGGAAUCAAAAGCACCCAAGGAGGUGGGGCUGAAGAAGCAGGUUGCAGAAUUAAAUUGGAUCCUCAAGAUAAGUGUUGUUGAGGAGGGGAGAAUUAAGCAAAGACUCCAAGGAGGUGAGAACCUUAGAAACUUAAGACCUAACAGGUAGGUACUCAAAUUAGUUAAAUCAGAUCUCAUCCUGAGAGCAGGGUUUCCACAGUUUCCAGAGUGAUUUUGGAGUCAUUCAGACUUGUGUUCAAAUCCCGUGUGGGACAGCUUUUGCUGUAGCAAAAAAUAACCCCAAAUUCUCAGUGACUUAAGAGCCAAAUACUUAUUUUUUUCUAUGUUUCACGUGGGCUGCAGGCCAACCACAGGUCGGCUGUGACUCUGAUGGGCUCGAUAUUCUGGUCCCAUCCCAGGAACAGGGCUGAAAGGAUAACCACACUCUCAGGCAUAUUGUCCCCAAAGAGGAGGUCAGGGCAAGAAUGCAUCUAAUCAGAGCAAAGAAUUUAAAGCUUCUGCGUGGCACAAAGCAAGUUCAUUCAUAUUCUAUUGACCAAAGAAAAUUGAAUUGGCCAAGCCCAAGUUGGGGGUGGGGAGGCGGCAGGGGAGGGUGUAUCUGGCCCAGACACAGGCAAAGGCAAGGAGAGGAUGGAUGAUUGCACAUAAACAGUGCAACUGCAGAAUUACCCAACCUCUCUGAAACUGACCUUGUACAUCUGUGAAACAAGAAUUAAGAACAGACUACAGGAAUAAAUGAGAUAUUUGUAAAUGCAUUUAGCACAAGAACUGGCUUAUAACAAGGGAUCAAUAAAGGUUAGUAUCCUCUUUUUGUCCACUUCCAAAGGUAGUUCAUCACUCCAGUCAAAUUCUUUUGGAGGCUUAAGAGGCGACUGGGGGGAGGCGGUGGGGAGGGGUGUGUUGGAAAAUGAGGCGCCCGGGACUGGAGAAAUCGAAAUUUAGUUCUUCCUCUACAUCCUGGAAUCAUUACUGAUCUAUAAAAUGAGGCAUUUGUCUAAGUCAUCUCUAAGGUUCCUUUCCAGGGCUGAAGAUCCUCCACUUGCUUUUUCUCUAGAGCCUCUGUUUUGUUCUAACACCAGGUGGCACUAGACGACAACAUAAUGGAAAAGGACAAAGGUUUUUCCGUGGAUAAGAUUCCAGGGCUCUGGACUGUUACUCCUACUUUCCUCUUAUAGAUUGUUAUAAAACAGAACUCUGACAGUUCCUCAGAAAGUACCGCUUUGGGGAAACGGCACCCAAAACAUAAAAUGAGCACCCUCGUCCUAGGACCUGAGGCAUCGGGAAGGACUCCAGGAAGUUGGUGACUACCCCAGACAGUUUCUAAGUUUGAUUUUGGAAGAGGGGAGCGUCUCUUUUUUUGAGCAGAAGUAUAAGAGAAUUGGAACUGUGCUCUAGGAUGUGACAUCUAGCGGUGAAGUGAUGGGAACAAGAAGCGUCUGGCAAGGGGGAGAAUUGGUUAGGAGACUCUUAUCGACAGAACGGAACCCAGGUACAUGGGUUUGAAAGAGGGCAUUGGGAGUGAGCAUAAAGAUGAGUAAGAUGCUGCAGUGACAGAAUCUCUAGAACGUGGCAACUAUUUACAUGAAGAGGCUUCAAGGAGGAUAGGUCAUUAUGAAAGAUGACUCCUGGCUAAGAAGGGAAAUGUCAAGGCCACUGACAGAAACCACGUGACUUCAGGCAGCAGUGUGACUGUUAUUCCUGCAUCUCACAUGUACACCCUGAAGGACCCAGGAGGGGGUCCUCCCUCUUAGGAACUGAGAAACCCCUGGGGCAUGAGUAUUGGUCCUAAAAGGGCCAGACGUCCUGCUGUGGAGAGCACUGAAAUGUUCCAAUAUGACACCUGGCCUUUUCUCAAGAAAUGUUUCCUUAAACAUGAUGUUACCAAUGGCAACUUUAAAAUCCAGAGAUGGUGUUCCCGUUGUGGUUCAGCGGAAACAAACCUGACUAGCAUACAUGAAGACACAGGUUCAAUCCCUGGCCUCACUCAGUGGGUUAAGGAUCUGGCCUUGCCAUGAGCUGUGGUUAUAGGUCGAAGACAUGGUUCGGAUCUGGUGUUGCUGUGGCUGUGGUGUAGGCUGGCAGCUGUAGCUCCAAUUUGACCCCUAGCCUAGGAACCUCCACAUACCAUGGGUGUGGCCCUAAAAAGACAAAAAAUAAAAAUAAAAAAUAAAUCAAAUAAAAUCCAGAGACAUUUCUCUCUUGCAAUUGGAGACAGGGGAUACAUGGGAAAUCUCUAUACCUUUCACUUAAUUUUUUCUGUGACCGUAACAGUGCUCUUUUUAAAAAAGGAAAUCUGUUUUUUAAAAUCCUGGAGGGUUCUGGAAAGAUGGUGGAGUAGGGGUCCCCAGGAAUCUGUCUCCCCUACUACACAACAAUUGCACCGGCAGAGCUGGCCUGAUGUAACUCUUGUGGAAGUUUGGACAGUUUACCGAAGGCUUGCCAUGUGCAGGGGAAGACUUGGACAGUUGAUUUUGGCCAAUUUCAGCUCUCAGCACAGAGCGGCGACCCCACCCCCAUGGCAGGCAGCUGUGCCCCCAGCCUGCAUGAGCCAGGAUGCCAAAAAGGACCUGUCCUCCAAACCAUGAUUUGUGCUCUGAUCACUGGGGCACAGAGCAGAGAUCUGUGUUCUGAUCACGGGGUGCAGUGGCCAUUUCUGUUGCACUUCCCUGCUAAUGCAAGUCCCUCCUCAUCUGGCUGAAGUACCAUUCAGGAGAUUUAAAAGGCCAAUAUUUUGUUUUCCCACCCACCACCCCCCAGCAUGCAGUGGCUUGAUGUGGGAUCUCAGUUCCCAGACCAGGGAUUAAACCUGGGCCAAAGCAGUGAAACUUGGGAAUUCUAACCACUGGACCACCAGGGAACUACCACCAGUGCCAUUUUUAAAACCACUUUGGGUCCCCCCCCCCUUUCUGGUAGUCUGACAUUAAAGACUACGACAUUAAAAGAUGACUGCAUAUAUAGGGAAAGUUAGAAAGUGAUUGGUAAUGCCCAGGGAAAGGUUCAGAAAAGACCUAAGAAUAUCUUAAGUUUACGCCUGAGACUGACCCUCAACAAUAAGCCAGUCUACAUAAUUGAAAAACAAAAACAAUAAACAAGCACAAUAUCAAAACAAAGCAAAUCCUGGAGGAAGAGAAAGAAUAUGAUUUCCAGAGUUACCAUUGUAUCAAUUCAAAUGUCCAGCUUCUACCAAAACAAAAAACAAAAAAUCACAAGGCAUACAAAGAAAUAGGGAAAUAUGGUAUAUUCAAAGAAAUAAAAUGGAUUGAUAAAAACUGUCACUGAAAGAGAUCCAACAGAAGAAAUAUUAAAUCAAGACUUUAAAAUAGCUGACAUAAAAAUUUUCAAAGGGAGCUCCCAUUGUGACUCAACAGUAACAACACGACUGGUAAACAUGAGGGUGCAGAUUUGAUCCAUGGCCUUGCUCAGUGGGUUAAGGAUCAGGUGUUGCUGUGAGCUGUGGUGUAGGUCGCAGAAGUAGCUCGGAUCCCCAUGUUGCUGUGGCUGUGGUGUAGGUUGGCAGCUACAACUCUGAUUCAACCCCUAGCCUGAGAACUUCCCUAUGCCAAGGGUACAGCCUCCCAUGCCCCCCAAAAAGACAGAUAUCAUACAAAAUGUGUUCUUCAACCACAAUGUAUAGAAGUUAGAAAUCAGUAACAGAGGGAAAACUAAAAAACUCACAAAAUUGUGGAAAUUAAACAAUACACUUAUCAACAACCAAUGGAUCAAAGUAGACAAUACAAGGGAUAUUAUUAGAAAAUACUUACAGACUAAUGAAAACAAAAACAUGACAUGCCAAAACUUAUGGAAUACAGUGAAAGUACUGUUAAUUGGGAAAUUUAUAGCUAUAAAUAUCUACUUUAAAAACAAGAACGAUAUCAAAUCAAAAACCUAACCUUAUAACUUAAGGAAUAGGAAAAGAAGAACAAAUUAAACUUAAAGCUAGCAGGAAGAAGGAAAUAAUAAAGAUUAGAAUACAGAUAAACAAAAUAGAGAAUAGAAAAGCAAUAGAGAAAAAUCAAUGAAACCAAAAGUUGGCUCUUAAAUGAUCAACAAAAUUGACAAAUCUUACCUCACACCAGUAAGAAUAGAUAUCAUCAAAAUGUCUAUAAAUAACAAAUGCUGGAAAAAAGGGAACCCUCCAACACUGUUGGUGGGAAUGUAAAUUGGUAAAAGCACCAUGGAGAACAGUAUGCAGGUUCCCUAAAAAAACUAAAAAUAGAACUACUAUAUGAUCCAGCAAUUCCAUCCCUAGGCAUAUAUCCAGAGAAAACUGUAAUUUGAAAAGAUGCAUGCACCUCAGUGUUCACUGCAGCACUAUUUACAAUAGUCAAGGCAUGGAAACUAGCUAAAUGUUCAUCAACAGAAGAAUGGAUAAAGACGAUGAGGUACAUAGACACAAUGGAAUACUGCUCAGCCAUAACAAGAAUGAAAUAAUGCCAUCUGUAGCAACAUGGAUGGAACUGGAGAUUAUCAUAUUAAGUGACGUAAUCCAGAAAAAGACCAGUAUCAUAUGAUAUUACUUAUACAUGGAAUCCAUAAAAAUGAUACAAAAGAAUUUAUUUAUAAAACAGAAACUCAAAGAUUUCAAAAUUAAAUUUAGAAUUACCAAAGGGGAAACCAUGGGGUCAGGGGAGGGAUAAAUUGGGAGGAUUAACACACACACACACUACUAUACACACAGUAGAUAACUAACAAGGACCUAAUGAACAGUGCAGGGAGGUCUACUCAACGUUCUGAAAUAACCUAUGGGAAGGAAAGAAUAGAUGUAUGUGUAAUUAAUCCACUUUGCCGUCAACAUGACACCAAUACAAUACUGUAAAUCAAUUACAUCCCAAUUAAAUUUUAGAAAUUGACAAAACUUUAGCUACUGGACUAAGAAUGAAGAAGAAAAGAAUCAAAUUACUAAAAUCAGAAGUGAAGGGGUUUCCAUUGCGGCUCAGUGGGUUAAGGACCCAACAUCUCUCUGAGGAUACAGGUUUGAACCCUGGUCUCACUCGGUGGAUUAAGGAUCUAGCAUUGCCACAAGCUGUGGUGUAGGUUGCAGAAGUGGCUCAGAUCUGGCGUUGCCAGGGUUGUGGUGUAGGCCACAGCUGCAGCUCAGAUUCCCCUGGCCUGGGAACUUCUUUAUGCCACAGGUAUGACCAUAAACAGAAAAAAAAAAGUCUACAAACAAUAAAUGCUGGAGAGAGUAUGGAGAAAAGAAAACCCCCUUACACUGUUGAUGAGAAUGUAAAUUGGUACAACAGCUGUGGGGAACAGUAAGGAGGUUCCUCAAAAAACUAAAAAUAGAACUACUGGGUCACCUUGCUGUGCAGCAGAAAUUUGACAGAACACUGUAAAUCAGCUGUAACGGAAAAAAUAAAAAUGAUUAUUUUAAAAAAGUAGAAUAAAAUCCCCCCCAAAAAGAACUACCAUAUGAUCCAGCAAUCUCACUCCUGGGCAUCUAUCCAGAGAAAAUCAUAAUUUGAAAAGAUAUACACACUGCCAAUGUUUAUUUCAGCUUUACUUACAAUAGCCAAAACAUGAAAGCAACCUAAAUGUCCAUCAACAAAGGAAUGGAUAAAGAUGUGGUGCAUAUAUGCAAUGGACUACUACUCAGCCAUAAAA